CUUUAUUCCAGAUAUGAGUUGCCCACAUUUCAGAGGAAAUUGAGCACUUGGGGAGCAAUUCCUGUGGUUCUACUGUUUUUGUGUUUUCUAAGUACUCAGUGACUAAUCAGAGAAGGAUAUUAAAACACUAGCUGCGGUUGGCAGAAGAUUUACUAGACGAACAAUUGGAAGGAAUGGGUUGUAUUAUAAGCAAAAGGCUUGGGUCCACUGGAAUGCGGAACUGAAAGAUGACUUCAUUGAACUCUGAGGAGUCAUGAUAAGGUUCUUUUGAAGACCCUGACGUGGAGUUACACUCUGACUUUGGUUCUUUGUGAGAAUGGGACCCACUCUCAGGGCCUCAGGACCAGCUGCUUUUUAAUAUCCCAAGGACAUGGCCUGGCAAAUGAGCACAUCUUCAGGGUUUUGUAUUUUCUCUGGCUCUGGAGGUGGGCUGAUUCGAGGCUGGUGCCCCUGACUGAGGCAUCACAGGAGAGCAUGGAACAUCAGAGCAACGGGUUAGCUGCCGUGUGUUGUGUGUUCAGAGAUCUGCGCCUUUCUGGGACCGUCUCUCUCUGGGCGCAAUGCAACAGACUUUUAAUGUAGUAAAUAAGCGAGUUCUUUGUUAUGUCUCACUCUCACUGUGAAACAGGGAUACCUC